UACGGGGGGGGCAAGCGUUGUUCGGAAUUACUGGGCGUAAAGGGCUCGUAGGUGGCCUUCUAAGUUGAACGUGAAAGCCCCGGGCUUAACCUGGGAAUUGCGCUUGGGACUGGAGGGCUUGAGUACGGGAGAGGAGAGUGGAAUUCCCAGUGUAGAGGUGAAAUUCGUAGAUAUUGGGAAGAACACCGGUGGCGAAGGCGGCUCUCUGGACCGUAACUGACGCUGAGGCGCGAAAGCGUGGGGAGCAAACAGG
rnacentral:rRNA from 1 species